rnacentral:lncRNA from 10 species
AUUGGAAUAAACUUGGAUAUUGAACAGAGGAAUCAAAAGAAGGAGGAAGAAUAGAAUGAUUUGGAGGAAAAGAAGGAGAAAGUAGAGGAGUUGAAAAAAAGGAAGAAAAAGAAAAAUGCAGAAUCCUUUGUCAAUCCAACAGAACACAGCAAAAAAGCAAAGAAAGUGAAAGGUAAGUAGAUAGCACAAAAGGAAAUGGUACAAAUAAGCCCAAAAGUGUAAUGUAUCAGAGUCAAUGUGGAUAAAAUUCACCUAUUAAAAGGCAGAGAUGGGAUAAUAAUAACAUAAAUCCUGCUGUAUCCUGGUUAAUAAAAGGCACACCUAACACCAAACCAAAAGAAAAUUUUGAACAUAAAGUUUUGAAAAACUAAGAGGUUUUUAUUAAACCUCUUUUAUUAAACCUAUUUUAUUAUUUAUAGUAAGAUGACGUGUUAGUCCAUUCUCAUGCUACUAAUAAAGACAUACCCAAGAUUGGGUAAUUUAUAAAGAAAAGAAGUUUAAUUGACUCAUAGU